CACUGUCACUCCUACGGGAGGCAGCAGUGGGGAAUAUUGCACAAUGGGCGCAAGCCUGAUGCAGCCAUGCCGCGUGUGUGAAGAAGGCCUUCGGGUUGUAAAGCACUUUCAGUUGUGAGGAAGGUGGUGUCGUUAAUAGCGGCAUCAUUUGACGUUAGCAACAGAAGAAGCACCGGCUAACUCCGUGCCAGCAGCCGCGGUAAUACGGAGGGUGCGAGCGUUAAUCGGAAUUACUGGGCGUAAAGCGCAUGCAGGUGGUUUGUUAAGUCAGAUGUGAAAGCCCCGGGGCUCAACCUCGGAACUGCAUUUGAAACUGGCAGACUAGAGUACUGUAGAGGGGGUAGAAUUUCAGGUGUAGCGGUGAAAUGCGUAGAGAUCUGAAGGAAUACCGGUGGCGAAGGCGGCCCCCUGGACAGAUACUGACACUCAGAUGCGAAAGCGUGGGGAGCAAACAGGAUUAGAUACCCUGGUAG
rnacentral:rRNA from 1 species